rnacentral:rRNA from 1 species
GACGAACGCUGGCGGCGUGCUUAACACAUGCAAGUCGAGCGGUAAGGCUCCUUCGGGAGUACACGAGCGGCGAACGGGUGAGUAACACGUGAGUAAUCUGCCCUUCACUUUGGGAUAACCACCGGAAACGGUGGCUAAUACCGGAUGUGACCACCGGCCGCAUGGUCUGGUGGUGGAAAGCUCUGGCGGUGGAGGAUGAGCUCGCGGCCUAUCAGCUUGUUGGUGGGGUAGUGGCCUACCAAGGCGACGACGGGUAGCCGGCCUGAGAGGGUGACCGGCCACACUGGGACUGAGACACGGCCCAGACUCCUACGGGAGGCAGCAGUGGGGAAUAUUGGACAAUGGGCGCAAGCCUGAUCCAGCAACGCCGCGUGAGGGAUGACGGCCUUCGGGUUGUAAACCUCUUUCAGCCAUGACGAAGCGCAAGUGACGGUAGUGGCAGAAGAAGGACCGGCCAACUACGUGCCAGCCGCCGCAGUAAAAC